AAUGUGUCUUCGGAUGUGUUUGUCCGUAAUACGUAAAGGACAGGCCGUUGCGAUAUAGGGGUAGCAGGAUAUAUCUUCGGGAACCUGUGAACCCGAAUAGUGUGAAUCAUGCAUAGUUGAAAUCUCCUGGAACGGAGUACCAAAGAAGGUGACAGUCCUGUAGACGAAAUGCAUGCCCAUACUAUAGGUGUAUUCCUAAGUAGGGCGGAACACGUGAAAUUCCGUCUGAAUCCGCCGCGACUAUGCGGUAAGACUAAAUACAAAGAGUGAUCGAUAGUGAACAAGUACCGUGAGGGAAAGGUGAAAAGCAGCCCGGGAGGGCGAUGAAAUAGUAUCUGAAACCGUAUGCCUACAAUGAGCCGGAGCCCGCAAGGGUGACGGUAUUCCUAUUGAAGAAUGAGCCUGCGAGUAUGUUUCUGCAGCAAGCGUAAGGGCCUCUGGUCCGGACGCGCAGGGAAACCGAGUCUGAAAGGGCGUUUGAGUUGCAGGAACAUAACCCGAAACCGGGUGAGCAAUCCAUGGCCAGGAUGAACUUUGAGUAAAAUCAAAGGGAGGUCCGAACCCACGCGCCGUGCAACACGCGGGGAUGAGCUGUGGAUAGCGGAGAAAUUCUAAUCGAACUCGGUAAUAGCUGGUUCUCCUCGAAAUAGCUUUUGGGCUAGCUGCAUGUGUUUCUUCCGGGGGUAGAGCACUGGAUGAGGCUGGGGUCCUUCGGGAUACCCACUUCAAUCAAACUCCGAAUUCCGGAAAUGCAAACAUGCAAGUCAGACUGUGAGGGCUAAGCUUCAUAGUCAAAAGGGAAACAGCCCAGAUCGCCAACUAAGGUCCCUAAAUUACCACUCAGUGUAAAAGGUGGUGUUAAUUCUCAUACAACCAGGAGGUUGGCUUAGAAGCAGCCAUCCUUUAAAGAAAGCGUAACAGCUCACUGGUCAAGAGUUUUCGCGCCGAAAAUGUACCGGGGCUAAGUGGUAUACCGACGUUGCGAACUAUGAUGAUCUUUGGAUCGUCAUAUGUGGUAGAGGAGCGUUCCUAUUGCAGCGAAGCAGUAACGCGAGUUGCUGUGGAGUGAUGGGAAGUGAGAAUGCAGGCACAAGUAGCACAAAUGCGGGUGAGAGUCCCGCACGCCGAAAGCCCAAGGGUUCCAGGGCAACGAGAAUCGUCCCUGGGUUAGUCGGUCCUAAGGCGAGGCCUCCGCAAGGUGGCGUAGUCGAUGGAUGAGCAGGUUAAUAUUCCUGCACUUGGUUGCAUUUGGUAUUGUCUGCGUAUGUUUAAAGCAUGAGCGUUGUAUGGCUACACGUCCCGCAAGGGCGAGACUUCUGCCUCUGGCAGCGGUCAAGUCAUGUGGAGAACAUACCCAGAAAAGGACAGUACCGCGUGGUGCAANNNNNNNNNNNNNNNNNNNNNNNNNNNNNNNGGCAGGUCGAGAAGACCAAGGCGAACGAGAGAAACAUGGUUUAGGAACUCGGCAAUACAGCGGCCGUAACUUCGGGAUAAGGCCUGCCUCGACUUUGUCGAGGCCGCAGCGAAAGACCUCAUGCAACUGUUUACCAAAAACACAGCUCCCUGCCAAAGCGAAAGCUGAUGUAUAGGGGGCGAUCCCUGGCCAGUGUCAGAACGUUAAGGGGAGAGGUUAUGUACCUUCGGGUACAGAAGCUUUGAGCCGAAGCGCUGAUGAACGCCGGCGGUAACUAUGAAAGGUUGUAGUUACUUGUAUGGUAAACAGAAUUAAAUUUGGCUAUGUGCGGAAAUAUCUGGAGUAUAUGUUGAGUACUCAUCUUGACUCAGUCAAGAAAGUAACAAUCUCACAUUGCAGACAAUCCGCAGGAAAGAUUCCUAGUGCUUAUGAAGCAAACAUCUGAUUGGCUCAGACAAAUUGAGCCGGAGAUUGGCUAUUAUAUAGCCGGGUUUGCCGAUGGAGAGGGAAGUUUCAAUGUAUCAUUGAGAAAACGCGAUGAUCACACGCUUGGAUGGCAAGUUGAUCCAAGUUUCAAUGUAUCACAGCGUGAUCGAGUGAUAUUGGCGUUUAUCAAACGCACAUUUGGUUGUGGAACAUUGCGAUCAAGAAAGGACGGGGUUGUGUAUUUUGAAGUAAGAAAUCUUCAAAUGCUUGCAACCCGCGUUAUUCCUUUUUUUGAGAGAUUUCGUUUCAGAUCAGCAGCCAAAAAAAGAAACUUUGCACUCUUUAAGCAAAUCGUACAAGUGCUACACUCCAAACCCAUGAAUCAAGAUGUUCUUGAAAGGGUUGUUGGUUUGAGAGAGCAUUUGAAUCAUGGACAUGGCAGAAAACGAAAGUUUGAAGCGCGACAUGUCCUAGGAAAAUCCUCAGAGACUACACGCCAAACUCGUCCUGUAUCCAACACUGGGAUACAGGGGAGCGAGAUGAUAUAGUCCGAUCUCAUGGGCGACCAUGAGCCUCGUAAUCAAUCGAGGGUGCCGACUCGGUCGGCAUGUAACAUAAAGAACCGUCCUAAGGUAGCGAAAUUCCUUGUCGGGUGAAACGUAUUACGCGGGUCACGCAAAAUACUCGCCCGAAUAGGAUGGCAACAUCCUAUCAGCAAACCAACUCAUAACGGUGAAGCCCAAACAUGUGAUGAUGUGGGUAAUACCGUGGGAAGUCUUCCGAUUCAAUCGGAAUGACCCCGUAAC
rnacentral:rRNA from 1 species